rnacentral:rRNA from 1 species
GACGAACGCUGGCGGCGUGCUUAACACAUGCAAGUCGAACGGAAAGGCCCUGCUUGCAGGGUACUCGAGUGGCGAACGGGUGAGUAACACGUGGGUGAUCUGCCCUGCACUUCGGGAUAAGCCUGGGAAACUGGGUCUAAUACCGGAUAGGAGCCAUUUUUAGUGUGAUGGUUGGAAAGUUUUUUCGGUGUAGGAUGGGCUCGCGGCCUAUCAGCUUGUUGGUGGGGUAAUGGCCUACCAAGGCGGCGACGGGUAGCCGGCCUGAGAGGGGGGACGGCCACAUUGGGGCUGGGAUACGGCCCAGACUCCUACGGGAGGCAGGAGUGGGGGAUAUUGCACAAUGGGGGCAAGCCUGAUGCAGUGACGCCGCGUGGGGGAUGACGGGCUUCGGGUUGUAAACUCCUUUCGCUAGGGACGAAGCUUUGUGUGACGGUACCUAGAUAAGAAGCACCGGCUAACUACGUG